CGACCGUCCUGAACGAUCGCGCGGCAGCAUACCGAAAGGUCCUGCCGUGAGGAAAGUCCGGGCUCCGCAGAGCAGGAUAACGGAUAACAUCCGCCGAAGGUGACUUUAGGGCAAGUGCAACAGAAAUAAACCGCCGCGGUAAGCGGCAAGGGUGGAAAGGCGAGGUAAGAGCUCACCGGACGUACGGGCGACCGUAUGACCCUGUAAACCCUAUCCGGAGCAACACCGCAUAAAGGGGCGUUAAUGUCUGCUCGGCAGCCCCUACAGGUGGCAAGGAUGUGCGUGGCAACAUGUACACAAGAUAGAUGGUCGUUUUUAACAGAACCCGGCUUACAGGGACGAUCGGUCA
rnacentral:RNase_P_RNA from 1 species